rnacentral:lncRNA from 7 species
GUAAGUUAUUCAAAAUAUAUAAAUAAAUGUAUGUUUUUUUAAAUAUUAAAAAAAUAUAAUAAUAAUAAUAUUUCCAAAUAAUAUUCAAUAAAUAUGUUUAGGUAAAUUUCUCAUAUUAAUUAAAUUAGGCUUAAAAAAAGAGAAUAAAUUUAAUAGUAAAACUCCUUCAACUCAAUCAACAACAACAAAAAUUAAUGCUCCAGCAUGUGAUGCAACAAUCAAAAACCCCUUUUGAGUUUCAUUAAUACAUCUAAUACUUACAUAAAAGCAAAAUAUUCAUUCACUAUUUUGAAAAGAGAAAGAAAGGCAAUGAAAGAAGAGGGUAACACCUGAAUUUGGUGUAUUAUUGAAAAGAAAUUUUAUACCCCCAAAUUCAGGGUGUUACAAAUCUAACCCCCUUAACAGAAUCUCGCCCCCGAGAUUCAAGAAGAAGCUAGCAAGAAAAACAAGUCUGGUUCAUCGGUUGUCCACGACUUUCUUGAGUUGACUUUGACUCUGCAAGCUUAACCUGGGGACUGGUUUGCUUUGACUUUCAGAUGCUUGAGACCGAUCGAUGCAAUUCUUGAGGAUCUCUUAGACCUGUGGGUUAGGACCCCACACACGCUUCCGCUGCGCCACUUUGAUCUUGGUUGCUGAUGUUGAUCGCAUUGUCUUCAUUGGGGUUAGCGGCUAACCCCCUUAAUAGGAGUGUUGAUAUGCACUUGGUGAAGAUGCUGCCGACUCUGAUCUUGAUUGAUUUGGAGGAGUUGGAGGUUGCCAAAUGGACAGGUGCAAGAGGAAAGAAUAGCGAGAAAAGGUAGGUAUAGACGGAUUAGAGAGAGCAGGGGGAGAACCCAAAUACUUAACUCUAUGGCAUUCACCUAGUAAACAGAUUCCAUUGUGGACCAAGGGCCACAACACACCAACACUCAUCCCGAAGAAGCAAAUCAGUCAUAACACAAAGACAAACAGCACAAGCAUACAACAACAAAUAUCUCGUUGCUAUAUGUAACUUUUAAUUAAAUGGUGGUCUUUCCUUACCAAGGGGAAACUAUUCUAAGGCCAUCGAAAGGCAAGGGGAAUAAUAAGAAAUGUAGGAUAGGGGCAUGGGCAUAAUAAAGGGUGGAGCUAAAGCAAGGAUUGGAACCGAAAGGGAGAGAAUGCAACCAAGGUCAGGAUAGGUAAAACACAAUUCUCAAAUCGAGAUGGGAAAGAUGAUGAGUCAAAUGGUAGGCAUAAUAUAAGCAUCAUGGGAAGAUCUAGAUAUUACAAAGGUAAGGGUGAUAUCGAGCAAAAGCUAAGACUUGCAACGCGACAGAGGAAAAGGGAAAGAAAAAGAGCGGGAUGGGUAAGACAUCACUCUUGAAAUGAAAUUGGAGAGGCGGCCUUAAAAUGCAGGUACAAGAUAAGCAUCAAGGUAACGAUCGAGGGAUGACAAGGGUUAAGGUUAUAAUGAACAAACACACAAUAAAAGAUAUAUUUUAGACAAGACUUGCAAGGUGUCAAAGAAGGGGGAGCAGUCAAUGGUGAAAUAGAUUAGGCAUUAUCCUUGAACAGUGAUGGAAAAGAGAGGGCUUCAAAGGGUAGGUUCAAGGUAAGCAGGAAGGCAAGGGCAUAGAUAUCACGAGGGUUUUAAAGGUAAUAACGGACAAGGAUGUAUGAGAGGAGAUAAAUAGGCAUAAGACGAAGGAUACAAGUACCAUAAAUAAUGGAGUUAAGACCAGACCAUCAAAUGGAAAAGGAGAGGGUACGUCCAAGGGCCAGAUAGGUGAAUUGUCGCUCUCAAAUUGAGGUGGAAGAGAGGAGAUUUUUGAAGGGUAUUAAUAAAGAUGAGUAUCAAGGCAAGAUCGAUGGAUGAUAAGGUGAUGACGAUAGCAAAUAAAAACACAACAAAAGAUGGAAUUAAGACAACUUGUAAGGUGACAUGAAGUGAAAAGAAAUCAAGGAAGAGAUAGGUAGCUCACAACUCUCAAACUUGGUCGAAAGAAAGGGAAGGCUUUUAAAGGAUAAGUUCAAGGUAAGCAUUUAGGUAGAAGACAUCUAUAACUCAAGGGUCAAAGGGAUAAUAGACAAGGGUAUGAGAGAAAAGAUGAGGGCAUUGGAGAGCCAGUGGCAUAAUUACAACAAAGAAUGGAGUUAUGUCAAGGCUUACACGCGGUAAAGAAGAGAAUAUUGCCAAGGGUAAGAUAAGUAAAACACCGCUCUCAGAUUGGGAUAGGAGAUUGGAGAUUUUCAAUAACAGACAUAAUGUAAUCACCAAGGUAAGAUCAAGGGAUGAGAAAGGUAAUGAUAAUAACAAACAAAAGUAGGUAGUAGAAAUUUAUAGGCAAGUAUUCGAAACAAGAGUAUUAAAGGGAUACAAGCAUGUCAAUACCAAAGAACUAGAGUUUGCCAUAUGGUAGCAAUUUAAUGACGAAAGACAAAAGAAUCCCAAAAAGACAAGAAGGUUAUGGUCAGGGGGCAUCUACAAAGAUGUCGCAAGCACAAGAGUGAGAUCAGGUCUAAUAGAUUGAGAGAAGUAUAGACCAUACUAGAAUAGAAUACUUUUUGGCAAGGGGGCAUAUAGGAGCACAACAUAGAAUUAGUCGAGGUGACUAAUAUUUUGAAUCAAAAUCAAGGAUGAGGUGAAGUAAUAAUCAAUAAGUCCUUAAAACGGCCAAUGCUACUCUAGGCUAGCGGUCCUACAGUCAGCACGACUUUGAUACCACUUACGUCACACCCGGUUUUGAAGGUAAACCGAAUGCGAACCAUGUACGUGCCAGGAUCAGAACUCACGUACACAGCGGUUACAUAAAUGAACAUCAUCACACAAUGCUCGAAUAAUAACAUAAAAGAGUAC